rfam:Afipia sp. GAS231 genome assembly, chromosome: I
GCUGCCGUAGCUCAGUGGUAGAGCACUCCAUUGGUAAUGGAGAGGUCGACAGUUCAAUCCUGUCUGGCAGCA